rnacentral:rRNA from 1 species
AGGACGAACGCUGGCGGCGUGCUUAACACAUGCAAGUGGAGCGACGAACCAGGGCUUGCCCUGGGGCAGAGCCGCGAACGGGUGAGUAACACGUGGGUUACCUGCCUUGAUGACCGGGACAACCCGAGGAAACUCGGGCUAAUACCGGAUGUGCCCGCAAGGGGAAAGGAAGCUUCGGCCUCCGCAUCAAGAUGGGCCCGCGGCCCAUUAGCUUGUUGGUGAGGUAACGGCUCACCAAGGCUUCGAUGGGUAGCUGGUCUGAGAGGACGAUCAGCCACACUGGGACUGAGACACGGCCCAGACUCCUACGGGAGGCAGCAGUGGGGAAUCUUGCGCAAUGCGCGAAAGCGUGACGCAGCAACGCCGCGUGGGGGAAGAAGGCUUUCGGGUUGUAAACCCCUUUCAGUUGGGACGAAGCUUCGUUCGGUGAAUAGCCGAACGGAGUGACGGUACCUUCACAAGAAGCACCGGCUAACUACGUGCCAGCAGCCGC